rnacentral:rRNA from 1 species
UCUGUUCAAGAUUAAGCCAUGCAUGUCUAAGUAUAAGCAACUAUACUGUGAAACUGCGAAUGGCUCAUUAAAUCAGUUAUCGUUUAUUUGAUAGUACCUUACUACAUGGAUAACCGUGGUAAUUCUAGAGCUAAUACAUGCUAAAAACCUCGACUUCGGAAGGGGUGUAUUUAUUAGAUAAAAAACCAAUGCCCUUCGGGGCUCCCUGGUGAUUCAUAAUAACUUAACGAAUCGCAUGGCCUUGUGCCGGCGAUGGUUCAUUCAAAUUUCUGCCCUAUCAACUUUCGAUGGUAGGAUAGUGGCCUACCAUGGUUUCAACGGGUAACGGGGAAUUAGGGUUCUAUUCCGGAGAAGGAGCCUGAGAAACGGCUACUACAUCCAAGGAAGGCAGCAGGCGCGCAAAUUACCCAAUCCCGACACGGGGAGGUAGUGACAAUAAAUACUGAUACAGGGCUCUUUUGAGUCUUGUAAUUGGAAUGAGUACAAUUUAAAUACCUUAACGAGGAACAAUUGGAGGGCAAGUCUGGUGCCAGCAGCCGCGGUAAUUCCAGCUCCAAUAGCGUAUAUUAAAGUUGUUGCAGUUAAAAAGCUCGUAGUUGAACCUUGGGCCUGGUUGGCCGGUCCGCCUCACCGCGUGCACUGGUCCGACCGGGUCUUUCCUUCUGGGGAGCCGCAUGCCCUUCACUGGGUGUGUCGGGGAACCAGGACUUUUACUUUGAAAAAAUUAGAGUGUUCAAAGCAGGCCUAUGCUCGAAUACAUUAGCAUGGAAUAAUAGAAUAGGACGUGUGGUUCUAUUUUGUUGGUUUCUAGGACCGCCGUAAUGAUUAAUAGGGAUAGUCGGGGGCAUCAGUAUUCAAUUGUCAGAGGUGAAAUUCUUGGAUUUAUUGAAGACUAACUACUGCGAAAGCAUUUGCCAAGGAUGUUUUCAUUAAUCAGUGAACGAAAGUUAGGGGAUCGAAGACGAUCAGAUACCGUCGUAGUCUUAACCAUAAACUAUGCCGACUAGGGAUCGGGCGAUGUUAUCUUUUUGACUCGCUCGGCACCUCACGAGAAAUCAAAGUCUUUGGGUCUUGGGGGGAGUAUGGUCGCACGGCUGAAACUUAAGGAAUUU